GACGAACGCUGGCGGCGUGCUUAACACAUGCAAGUCGAACGAAGAGCGAUGGAGGCUUGCUUCUAUCAAUCUUAGUGGCGAACGGGUGAGUAACGCGUAAUCAACCUGCCCUUCAGAGGGGGACAACAGUUGGAAACGACUGCUAAUACCGCAUACGAUCUAACCUCGGCAUCGAGGAUAGAUGAAAGGUGGCCUCUACAUGUAAGCUAUCACUGAAGGAGGGGAUUGCGUCUGAUUAGCUAGUUGGAGGGGUAACGGCCCACCAAGGCGAUGAUCAGUAGCCGGUCUGAGAGGAUGAACGGCCACAUUGGGACUGAGACACGGCCCAGACUCCUACGGGAGGCAGCAGUGGGGAAUCUUCCGCAAUGGACGAAAGUCUGACGGAGCAACGCCGCGUGAGUGAUGACGGCCUUCGGGUUGUAAAGCUCUGUUAAUCGGGACGAAAGGCCUUCUUGCGAAUAGUUAGAAGGAUUGACGGUACCGGAAUAGAAAGCCACGGCUAACUACGUG
rnacentral:rRNA from 1 species